rnacentral:ribozyme from 12 species
AAAAAGUAAACAUAAAGAAGAAAUACAAUAAGAAUGCCAUCACAAAUUACUAGUAUUCCUGUUAUGCCUAUUUUCUUGUUUUU